rnacentral:rRNA from 1 species
GCCUUACAGCUAGCCCACAAAAGUAAAAGCAACUUACCACUUAAAUAACCCCAAAUGCACUAUUCACCUAGCAAACAAAUCAUUUUACCCCCUUAGUACGGGCGACAGAAAAGGACUUACAGGAGCGAUAGAGAAAGUACCGCAAGGGAAAGCUGAAAGAGAAGUGAAACAAAUCAGUCUAAGCCUAAUAAAGCAGAGACUAAAACUCGUACCUUU